AUUGAACGCUGGCGGCAGGCCUAACACAUGCAAGUCGAGCGGAUGAAGGGAGCUUGCUCCUGGAUUCAGCGGCGGACGGGUGAGUAAUGCCUAGGAAUCUGCCUGGUAGUGGGGGAUAACGUCCGGAAACGGGCGCUAAUACCGCAUACGUCCUGAGGGAGAAAGUGGGGGAUCUUCGGACCUCACGCUAUCAGAUGAGCCUAGGUCGGAUUAGCUAGUUGGUGGGGUAAAGGCCUACCAAGGCGACGAUCCGUAACUGGUCUGAGAGGAUGAUCAGUCACACUGUAACUGAGACACGGUCCAGACUCCUACGGGAGGCAGCAGUGGCGAAUAUUUGACAAUGGGCGAAAGCCUGAUCCAGCCAUGCCGCGUGUGUGACGAAGGUCUUCGGAUUGUAAAGCACUUUAAGUUGGGAGGAAGGGCAGUAAGUUAAUACCUUGCUGUUUUGACGUUACCAACAGAAUAAGCACCGGCUAACUUCGUG
rnacentral:rRNA from 1 species